rnacentral:rRNA from 1 species
GAUGAACGCUGGCGGUAUGCUUAACACAUGCAAGUCGAACGGAAUCUUUAGGGAUUUAGUGGCGGACGGGUGAGUAACGCGUAAGAAUCUACCUUCAGGUUGGGGACAACCACUGGAAACGGUGGCUAAUACCGAAUGUGCCGAGAGGUGAAAGGCUUGCUGCCUGAAGAAGAGCUUGCGUCUGAUUAGCUAGUUGGUGGGGUAAGAGCCUACCAAGGCGACGAUCAGUAGCUGGUCUGAGAGGAUGAUCAGCCACACUGGGACUGAGACACGGCCCAGACUCCUACGGGAGGCAGCAGUGGGGAAUUUUCCGCAAUGGGCGAAAGCCUGACGGAGCAAUACCGCGUGAGGGAGGAAGGCUCUUGGGUUGUAAACCUCUUUUCUCAGGGAAGAAAAAAAUGACGGUACCUGAGGAAUAAGCAUCGGCUAACUCCGGUGCCAGCAGCCGCGGUAAUACGGAGGAUGCAAGCGUUAUCCGGAAUGAUUGGGCGUAAAGGGUCCGCAGGUGGCAUUGUAUGUCUGCUGUUAAAGAGUCUGGCUCAACCAGAUCAAAGCAGUGGAAACUACAAAGCUAGAGUCUGGUCGGGGCAGAGGGAAUUCCUGGUGUAGCGGUGAAAUGCGUAGAUAUCAGGAAGAACACCGGUGGCGAAGGCGCUCUGCUAGGCCAAAACUGACACUGAGGGACGAAAGCU